rnacentral:lncRNA from 1 species
UCAGUUCCAUCUCCAAAGCAAUGGUGAAGAACAUGAACAAGAAGAAAAACGAUUCCGCUUCAAUGGACAUCACUGAAGAGCCCGUUUCAGAUUUGCCUCAAGGUAUCAAGUCCUGUUAUUCUAAUUUCAUCAAAUUCAAUGACUAUAGCUCUCUCUCACCUUUGCUUUUGGAGAUUUUUCUUUUUCAUUUUUCAUUUUUCAUUUUUUACAUUGGUUGUGCAGCAAUGGACACCUUAGAGUCGGGGGCUCACACAACCCAAGUGGUCGUGUUUCCAGUUUGUAAGUAUCAUCAUAAAGUAUUACCAAGCAGUCAUUUUUAUAAUAAGAUUAUUAGGUUUUUCUAUUAGUGGAGUGAUAAUCAAGACCACAAAUUUAAAAUCUUAAACCUUAAAGGCACAUUUCUACAUGAUUUUCUUCGACAGAUUGAUAUGUGGUCUUGAUUUGUGUGUUAUUGGGUAUUAUAGCUAUUGUUAAAAGAUUAUGGGUGAGGUUUCUUUCUGGGUUCAAUUCAAAUAAACAAGUGCAUAUGUGUUGCAACAGGGUCUUUAAUUUUUGUGGAAGUUUACUAGUCCUCUUGUGUGAAAAUAAAGGUUGUUUAGUUUAUAAGAUGGUG